rnacentral:rRNA from 1 species
CAUGCCGCGUGAAGGAUGACGGCGCUAUGCGUUGUAAACUUCUUUUAUACGGGAAAAAACCCUUGGAUGCGUCCGAGGCUGAUUGUACCGUAAGAAUAAGGAUCGGCUAACUUCGUGCCAGCAGCCGCGGUAAUACGAAGGAUCCAAGCGUUAUCCGGAUUUAUUGGGUUUAAAGGGUGCGUAGGCGGUUUUGUAAGUCAGUGGUGAAAUCUUCGGGCUUAACCCGGAAAUUGCCAUUGAUACUGCAGAACUUGAGUACAUUUGAAGUGGGCGGAAUAUGACAUGUAGUGGUGAAAUACUUAGAUAUGUCAUAGAACACCGGUUGCGAAGGCAGCUCACUAAACUGUAACUGACGCUGAUGCACGAAAGCGUGGGGAUCAAACAGGAUUAGAUACCCUGGUAGUCCACGCCGUAAACGUUGAUAACUAGAUGUUGGCGAUACACUGUCAGCGUCUAAGCGAAAGCGGUAAGUUAUCCACCUGGGGAGUACGACCGCAAGGUUGAAACUCAAAGGAAUUGACGGGGGCCCGCACAAGCGGAGGAGCAUGUGGUUUAAUUCGAUGAUACGCGAGGAACCUUACCAGGGCUUGAAAGUUAGUGACCGUUCCCGAAAGGGAUCUUUCAGCAAUGACACGAAACUAGGUGCUGCAUGGCUGUCGUCAGCUCGUGCCGUGAGGUGUUGGGUUAAGUCCCGCAACGAGCGCAACCCCUAUCUUUAGUUGCCAUCAGGUAAUGCUGGGGACUCUAAAGAAACUGCCCGCGCAAGCGGUGAGGAAGGUGGGGAUGACGUCAAGUCAUCACGGCCCUUACGUCCUGGGCUACACACGUGCUACAAUGGCAGAUACAAAGGGCAGCUACACAGCGAUGUGAUGCUAAUCUCUAAAAUCUGUCUCAGUUCGGGAUUGAAGUCUGCAACUCGACUUCAUGAAGCUGGAUUCGCUAGU